rnacentral:rRNA from 1 species
UACGUAGGGUGCGAGCGUUAAUCGGAAUUACUGGGCGUAAAGCGUGCGCAGGCGGUUUUGUAAGACAGGCGUGAAAUCCCCGGGCUCAACCUGGGAAUGGCGCUUGUGACUGCAAAGCUGGAGUGCGGCAGAGGGGAUGGAAUUCCGCGUGUAGCAGUGAAAUGCGUAGAUAUGCGGAGGAACACCGAUGGCGAAGGCAAUCCCCUGGGCCUGCACUGACGCUCAUGCACGAAAGCGUGGGGAGCAAACAGG